rnacentral:rRNA from 1 species
UACGUAGGUGGCAAGCGUUGUCCGGCUUUACUGGGCGUAAAGAGCGCGCAGGCGGUCGUUCAAGUCGGGUGUGAAAGCCCCCGGCUCAACUGGGGAGGGUCACGCGAUACUGAUCGACUCGAAGGCAGGAGAGGGUAGUGGAAUUCCCGGUGUAGUGGUGAAAUGCGUAGAUAUCGGGAGGAACACCAGUGGCGAAGGCGACUACCUGGCCUGUUCUUGACGCUGAGGCGCGAAAGCUAGGGGAGCAAACGGG